GGAGGAAUAUUGGUCAAUGGGCGCAAGCCUGAACCAGCCAAGUCGCGUGAGGGAAGACGGUCCUAUGGAUUGUAAACCUCUUUUGUCAGGGAGCAAGCGCGGGACGCGUCCCGUCGUUGAGAGUACCUGAAGAAAAAGCAUCGGCUAAUUCCGUGCCAGCAGCCGCGGUAAUACGGAAGGUCCGGGCGUUAUCCGGAUUUAUUGGGUUUAAAGGGAGCGCAGGCCGUGGGUUAAGCGUGUCGUGAAAUUCCGUCGCUCAACGGCGGACGUGCGGCGCGAACUGGUCCACUUGAGUACGCGGGACGUUGGCGGAAUUCGUGGUGUAGCGGUGAAAUGCUUAGAUAUCACGAAGAACUCCGAUUGCGAAGGCAGCUGACGGUAGCGCAACUGACGCUGAGGCUCGAAAGUGCGGGUAUCGAACAGGAUUAGAUACCCUGGUAGU
rnacentral:rRNA from 1 species